CCGCCCUGCUGGUCACGGAACUGGGCCGGACCAGCCCAUAAAUCGUUGACACCAGCUGAAGAAGCAGGUGUGUUUAGGUUACUUAAAAUUAGUUUGCUAUGAAUUAGUCUGCAAGACAAAAAGCCUGGCAGAGGUAGAGCUAUAAUGGCCAAAAGUGUGGGAAUGUUGUAUUCACAAUUUUAAAUUUACGUGUGAAUUUUUUAAACAGCAGAUUUUCCAAAGAGAAGCACAAUGUAGACUGAUUAUUAAAUUCGUAUUGAGCCUCAAAAAACAGCAAAGAUGUUUUUCUGUGCUAAUGACUUACGCUGACCUCAAGAAAAUAUAAAUGAGCAGAAAAUUCAUUCACCAAAGAACUUAACAAGUUUCCAGUAACUGCAGGAGGAAUGUACACCACAGCAUCUUGGAGAAGUAUCUUCAGUUCUGUUGUUCACACAGCUGCAACAUGACCUGAAUCAGGGACUGAUUCAAAUGAAAAUUAACCUGCAAGGUUGUGCUGAAAAGGCAGAGCCAUACUGAAGGAAGCAGAAAUACCCAUCUCUGAGUACUCAAGUAGCAGCAUUUCAGAAGUCAUCUUGGUCCGCAGAUACUUAGGCAAAAGAAUGUAAUUACUGCCUGAUCUACACCCAAGCUCAAACAGCAUGAUCUGGUCAAAGAGACACCUAAUUAAGCAAUCAAAAAUGGUGGACUCAAAAUUACUGAAUGCUAUGGCCCUCUCCAGAUCUUCUAGGACUUCCACCUCAGCAGAACAUAAUCUUCCCCAUGCAAAGGUAAUCCAGGCACAGACACACCUGGGAACAGCCUCUGAGUCAGACAUGAUGGCAAACCAAACUCAAAAUGGCAGAAAGAGCCCAUAUGUGUUUACCCACGUGCAAACGCACCGGGUAUACAAACAGAACCCUCACAGCCUCACAGCUGUUCCGUGCCAAGCUGACAGAUACUGAAGAGGUUGAGGGGAAGUCCACCCCCUCCAAAGAUACCUGGUAGCACCAACAGAAAUGGUUACCGGGAAGGCUGCUCUUAGCAAGAAAGAGACAACAUAACUCUUGUUCUGUGCGUGCGGUGACUUCACCAGUAACUGCAGACCUGCUCAACUUCAGCGGCUCUGUUUCCAUCUAACACGGCGCUGCACGACACCCAGCUGCCGAGCUCCGACAUCGGCACGCUGCGUUCUGUACGCGAGUACCAACUCGCUUCUCAGCGCUCCAGCAGCCAAGGCAGCAGCCAACCUCGCAUGGACAACCCUCUGAUGCUGUCCAUGCACCACCAGCGGGGAAGCAGAAGGUCUGCAGCACAGAGUCCAUCCCCACUCCCCCCUCCGCUAUUUCGCUUCCUUGACGAAGUUUAAGGUACUCGCGAACUUCUAAAGAAAUACACAGGUAAAAGCGACCGCUCCAACUAGAAGUAAGGCACAGAGACGGCGCA